rnacentral:misc_RNA from 1 species
CUGCUGUGGCUGAGCCUUGGGGUGAAGACAGGCAGCUGCUCCCAACCCCAGAACCUUUGCUGUCUUGGGACGGAUCACCGCUGCAAGAGGGGAAGUUGCUACUGUGAUGAAUUCUGCCAUGUGGCACCAGACUGCCACCCAGACCACAGUGUCCUCUGCAACCCUGCUUCUCAGAUGACCAAGAUGGUGCUGCAGAUGGUGCUGAGGAUGGAGAACCCACCAAGCCCCGCUAGGAGCCACCUAGACUGGAUGCAGAGCAUGAUUUGAAGAUUGUACCAGGAGAGCCGCAGUGUUCCAGAGCUACUGAGGGGGCUGGGCUGGGAUUUGCUGUAUUCGAGAAGACCCCCUUGGACCCGAGAGGCUGUGGGCUUGGGGAGCGAGGAGGUUUCACAGCAGAAAGGACACCCCGGGGCUCCUGGAUAAGCCAGAAAAUGUGCCAGGGGAAGUCGGGCUCCAAGGGCACCACUCUGGGCUUCCAGCUGUGUGGGCUGGACCAAGAAGG